AGAGUUUGAUCCUGGCUCAGAUUGAACGCUGGCGGCAUGCUUUACACAUGCAAGUCGAACGGGGUUAUGGGGCUUGCUCCAUGACUUAGUGGCGAACGGGUGAGUAAUGCAUCGGAACGUACCGUAUUGUGGGGGAUAGCCCGGCGAAAGCCGGAUUAAUACCGCAUGAGCUCGGAAGAGGAAAGCAGGGGAUCGCAAGA
rnacentral:rRNA from 1 species